GACGAACGCUGGCGGCGUGCUUAGCACAUGCAAGUCGAACGAUGAAGCCUAGCUUGCUAGGUGGAUUAGUGGCGAACGGGUGAGUAAUACGUGAGUAACCUACCUUUAACUCUGGGAUAAGCCCGGGAAACUGGGUCUAAUACCGGAUACGACCAAUCUCCGCAUGGGGUGUUGGUGGAAAGCGUUAUGUAGUGGUUAUAGAUGGGCUCACGGCCUAUCAGCUUGUUGGUGAGGUAACGGCUCACCAAGGCGACGACGGGUAGCCGGCCUGAGAGGGUGACCGGCCACACUGGGACUGAGACACGGCCCAGACUCCUACGGGAGGCAGCAGUGGGGAAUAUUGCACAAUGGGCGCAAGCCUGAUGCAGCGACGCCGCGUGAGGGAUGACGGCCUUCGGGUUGUAAACCUCUGUUAGCAGGGAAGAAGAGAGAUUGACGGUACCUGCAGAGAAAGCGCCGGCUAACUACGUG
rnacentral:rRNA from 1 species